rnacentral:rRNA from 1 species
CGAUCGGUAGCCGGACUGAGAGGUUGAACGGCCACAUUGGGACUGAGACACGGCCCAGACUCCUACGGGAGGCAGCAGUGGGGAAUAUUGCACAAUGGGGGAAACCCUGAUGCAGCGACGCCGCGUGGAGGAAGAAGGUCUUCGGAUUGUAAACUCCUGUUGUUGAGGAAGAUAAUGACGGUACUCAACAAGGAAGUGACGGCUAACUACGUGCCAGCAGCCGCGGUAAAACGUAGGUCACAAGCGUUGUCCGGAAUUACUGGGUGUAAAGGGAGCGCAGGCGGGAGAACAAGUUGGAAGUGAAAUCCAUGGGCUCAACCCAUGAACUGCUUUCAAAACUGUUUUUCUUGAGUAGUGCAGAGGUAGGCGGAAUUCCCGGUGUAGCGGUGGAAUGCGUAGAUAUCGGGAGGAACACCAGUGGCGAAGGCGGCCUACUGGGCACCAACUGACGCUGAGGCUCGAAAGUGUGGGUAGCAAACAGGAUUAGAUACCCUGGUAGUCCACACCGUAAACGAUGAUUACUAGGUGUUGGAGGAUUGACCCCUUCAGUGCCGCAGUUAACACAAUAAGUAAUCCACCUGGGGAGUACGACCGCAAGGUUGAAACUCAAAGGAAUUGACGGGGGCCCGCACAAGCAGUGGAGUAUGUGGUUUAAUUCGACGCAACGCGAAGAACCUUACCAAGUCUUGACAUCCCUUGACGAUGCUGGAAACAGUAUUUCUCUUCGGAGCAAGGAGACAGGUGGUGCAUGGUUGUCGUCAGCUCGUGUCGUGAGAUGUUGGGUUAAGUCCCGCAACGAGCGCAACCCUUGCUAUUAGUUGCUACGCAAGAGCACUCUAAUAGGACUGCCGUUGACAAAACGGAGGAAGGUGGGGACGACGUCAAAUCAUCAUGCCCC